AUGAACGCUAGCUACAGGCUUAACACAUGCAAGUCGAGGGGCAUCAGGAAGAAAGCUUGCUUUCUUUGCUGGCGACCGGCGCACGGGUGAGUAACACGUAUCCAACCUGCCCUUUACUCGGGGAUAGCCUUUCGAAAGAAAGAUUAAUACCCGAUAGCAUAAUGAUUCCGCAUGGUUUCAUUAUUAAAGGAUUCCGGUAAAGGAUGGGGAUGCGUUCCAUUAGGUUGUUGGUGAGGUAACGGCUCACCAAGCCUUCGAUGGAUAGGGGUUCUGAGAGGAAGGUCCCCCACAUUGGAACUGAGACACGGUCCAAACUCCUACGGGAGGCAGCAGUGAGGAAUAUUGGUCAAUGGGCGCUAGCCUGAACCAGCCAAGUAGCGUGAAGGAUGAAGGCUCUAUGGGUCGUAAACUUCUUUUAUAUAAGAAUAAAGUGCAGUAUGUAUACUGUUUUGUAUGUAUUAUAUGAAUAAGGAUCGGCUAACUCCGUGCCAGCAGCCGCGGUAAUACGGAGGAUCCGAGCGUUAUCCGGAUUUAUUGGGUUUAAAGGGAGCGUAGGUGGACUGGUAAGUCAGUUGUGAAAGUUUGCGGCUCAACCGUAAAAUUGCAGUUGAUACUGUCAGUCUUGAGUACAGUAGAGGUGGGCGGAAUUCGUGGUGUAGCGGUGAAAUGCUUAGAUAUCACGAAGAACUCCGAUUGCGAAGGCAGCUCACUGGACUGCAACUGACACUGAUGCUCGAAAGUGUGGGUAUCAAACAGGAUUAGAUACCCUGGUAGUCCACACAGUAAACGAUGAAUACUCGCUGUUUGCGAUAUACAGUAAGCGGCCAAGCGAAAGCAUUAAGUAUUCCACCUGGGGAGUACGCCGGCAACGGUGAAACUCAAAGGAAUUGACGGGGGCCCGCACAAGCGGAGGAACAUGUGGUUUAAUUCGAUGAUACGCGAGGAACCUUACCCGGGCUUAAAUUGCAGUGGAAUGAUGUGGAAACAUGUCAGUGAGCAAUCACCGCUGUGAAGGUGCUGCAUGGUUGUCGUCAGCUCGUGUCGUGAGAUGUUGGGUUAAGUCCCGCAACGAGCGCAACCCUUACUGUUAGUUGCUACGCAAGAGCACUCUAGCAGGACUGCCGUUGACAAAACGGAGGAAGGUGGGGAUGACGUCAAAUCAGCACGGCCCUUACGUCCGGGGCUACACACGUGUUACAAUGGGGGUACAGAAGGCAGCUAGCGGGUGACCGUAUGCUAAUCCCAAAAUCCUCUCUCAGUUCGGAUCGAAGUCUGCAACCCGACUUCGUGAAGCUGGAUUCGCUAGUAAUCGCGCAUCAGCCACGGCGCGGUGAAUACGUUCCCGGGCCUUGUACACACCGCCCGUCAAGCCAUGGGAGCCGGGGGUACCUGAAGUACGUAACCGCAAGGAUCGUCCUAGGGUAAAACUGGUGACUGGGGCU
rnacentral:rRNA from 1 species